AUGCAUCAUAUGUGAGCAAUGUCUGUGAGAUUGAAACGUAUAAAUAUGGGGUCCUGCCGACAUUGUGUAUAACCAGUUUCUUGGAAACACAGCGAAACGGUUUCUCCUCCCUUACUGCCUUUAGAAGUUAAAAAUGCUGAAAGCAGUAGUCAUGUUGCUAGCCAUUGCCGUGGUUCUCGGCACAGUACAGGCGAUGACUUAUAUCAAUGGGUUCUCUUCGCCAGGUCUGGAUGAGAGCUUUAAUGGACCUGACUGGAGGAGGAACCCAUAUCCUAGGAUGUGUGACUGCACACGUGUUUGCAAAAUGAUGGGUUAUUAUGGAUGAACCCAACAGUUACCGCUGUGUUGUCAGGUCCUGAUAUUGACGAAUUUGAAGACGGAAACAUCAAGUUACAGAUCUAAUAGAAAUAAAAUUUCAACUCGAAAGUAUACUGACAAAUAAAAGCAUCAACUAUU